rnacentral:rRNA from 1 species
UACGUAGGGGGCAAGCGUUGUCCGGAUUCAUUGGGCGUAAAGAGCGUGUAGGCGGCCAGGUAGGUCGGUUGUGAAAACUGGAGGCUCAACCUUCAGAGGUCGACCGAAACCAUCUGGCUAGAGUCCGGGAGAGGAGAGUGGAAUUCCUGGUGUAGCGGUGAAAUGCUUAGAUAUGACAUAGAACACCCAUUGCGAAGGCAGCUAACUACGCGAUAAUUGACGCUGAUGCACGAAAGCGUGGGGAUCAAACAGG